rnacentral:misc_RNA from 1 species
UCCGGUUUGUCACCGGCAGUCUCCAUAGAGUGCCCAACUAAAUGCUGGCAACUAGGGAUAAGGGUUGCGCUCGUUGCGGGACUUAACCCAACAUCUCACGACACGAGCUGACGACAACCAUGCACCACCUGUCACCCGGCCACAAGGGGGGCACCAUCUCUGAUGCUUUCCGGGCGAUGUCAAGCCUUGGUAAGGUUCUUCGCGUUGCGUCGAAUUAAGCCACAUGCUCCGCUGCUUGUGCGGGCCCCCGUCAAUUCCUUUGAGUUUUAGCCUUGCGGCCGUACUCCCCAGGCGGGGCACUUAAUGCGUUAGCUGCGGCACGGACAACGUGGAAUGUUGCCCACACCUAGUACCCACCGUUUACGGCGUGGACUAC